UGGGGAAUAUUGCACAAUGGGGGAAACCCUGAUGCAGCGACGCCGCGUGAGCGAAGAAGGUUUUCGAAUCGUAAAGCCCUGUCCUCUGGGAAGAUAAUGACGGUACCAUAGGAGGAAGCCCCGGCUAACUACGUGCCAGCAGCCGCGGUAAUACGUAGGGGGCAAGCGUUGUCCGGAAUCACUGGGCGUAAAGGGUUCGCAGGCGGAAAUGCAAGUCAGUUGUGAAAGGCAGAGGCUCAACCUCUGUAGGCAAUUGAAACUGUAUUUCUUGAGGUGUGGAGAGGGAAGGGGAAUUCCGAGUGUAGCGGUGAAAUGCGUAGAUAUUAGGAAGAAUACCGGUGGCGAAGGCGACUUGCUGGACACAAACUGACGCUGAGGAACGAAAGCGUGGGUAGCGAACAGG
rnacentral:rRNA from 1 species